rnacentral:rRNA from 1 species
UACAGGGGGGGCAAACGUUGUUCGGAAUUACUGGGCGUAAAGGGCCAGUAGGCGGCCAACUAAGUCCGACGUGAAAUCCCCAAGCUUAACUUGGGAACUGCGUCGGAUACUGGAUGGCUUGAAUUCGGGAGAGGGAUGCAGAAUUCCAGGUGUAGCGGUGAAAUGCGUAGAUAUCUGGAGGAAUACCGGUGGCGAAGGCGGCAUCCUGGACCGCAACUGACACUCAGGGACGAAAGCUAGGGGAGCGAAUGGG